UCCUGCCUGAUUCCCCCAGGCACUUUUGGUUGGGGUGGCUGGUCAAGAAAUGGGGGAGAGGGCCCCAAGUAUCUGAUAUCAGAGGAAGGAACCCCGGUAUUUCACUUUAAGUGGGCCCGGAGGGUCAUUUUAGUUGACCCUGGAGUGGCGUCUGAGACGUCUCGUAGCCUGAUGUCUUUGAGGACGUCUCUCAUCACUGGGUAGCCCCACCACGACCCUGUAAGCGCGUGCUCAGUGAACAAAUAGGGUUGCCAUGAUGGUAGGGUUCUAUAUGCCUUGCCGUGAAGCAAAGCCAGUGACCUCUCUGGGCCUCCCUCUAGGCAAGGAGAAUUCUGGAGUCAUGGGCAGUUGAGGUAGGGUGGCUCCAGCCGUCCUCAACUGGCCUGAGUGGAUAAGGACACAGGCUGAGGUCCGAAUCCCCGUCCUCAAGUCAAGACAGCCCCUGGACAACGGCCGAGCCCGGGUUCAAAUACCGGCUCUCACCACAUGCCCUCGGGAAGGCAGCCUGCUGGUUUGGGGGCCUCAGUUUCCUCAUCUGUAAAGUGGGAGGUGAUCUGUGAAAGGCACCCCGGGUAGGUGGGGUCUGGCAGCCAGGAGAUAAAAAAGUGAUUAUAGAAAAGCAGGCAGAUGGGCUUGGACACCCGUUUCCCCACCUGGAGCGUGGCCUGAGGCUGGAGGGGUGAUCGCUCCAGCCACUUACAGUGUCUUGAGAAUUGAAUGGCUAAUCAGGGGGGCACAUUUUGAGCAUAAAGGGCUUAGGGUGUGCGGUGUCCAGAAGACGCACGGACCGUGAGGUCUAACGUCAGUAACAGCCUUAAGCCCAGUCUCGUAGCAGAUACGCCACAGGUGGGGACUUAGUGUUAUUCCAGAAAGCCUGUAACACACACACAGUAGGUGCUUAAUAUGUGGGAACUAUCACUGCUACUUAGCAAAGCCCUUAGCACACUGCCUGGCACACAAUAGGUGCUUCAUAAGUGCUCUCUUAAACCUAAACACAGAUCGUCAUGGCGCGAGGCCCCCUUAUUGGCACUCACCAGAUGGAAGGUGCUAGUCAUUUGCAACAAGCUUACCCUGGUGUCCCCUGCACAGUAGGAACCCCAGACACGGGGCCCAUGAUCGUUGUUCCGUGAAGCCCCUGGCAGAAUGCCUGGCAUACAGUAAGUGCUCGAUAAGUGGCAUUUUCUUCCAAGAGGCUGGCCUUGCUCUGGGCGCUUAUGCUCAGAUAGGAACCGUUGUCAGUCUGACAGGACCUAGCAUGGGGUUUGGGGUCCGCAGGUUCUGCUCAAAACGUGAAGUCGUUACCUGCAGAACCUUUGACACUGUGUGCACACAGGAGGUGCUUGAGAAGGAAAAACUGCUCCGAUUUAUGUAUAAGGCCCUUAGCACAGCAGCUGGCACACGGUAGGUGCUUAAGAAGUGAGAACUAUUCAUGUUCUACAAGGCCCGGAAUGCAGUGCCUUUUACAUCGUAGGUGUUUAGUAGCUAGGAACUCUUGCUGUGCUUUUCAGUAAAGCCUCCAGCCCAGUGCUUGGCACGUAGUAGGUGCUCAUUAUGUGGGGACUAGUACUGUUUUUUUUAUAAAGUCCCCAGCCCGGUGCCUGGCACGUAGUAGGUGCUUAGUAUGCGGGGACUAGUACUGUUAUCCGAUGAAGCCUCCAGCCCGGUGCCUGGCACGUAGUAGGUGCUCAGUAUGUGGGGGCUAGUACUGUUAUCCGAUGACGCCCCCAGCCCGGUGCCUGGCACGUAGUAGGUGCUCAGUAUGUGGGGGCUAGUACUGUUAUCCGAAGAAGCCUCCAGCCCGGUGCCUGGCACGUAGUAGGUGCUCAGUAUGUGGGGGCUAGUACUGUUAUCCGAUGAAGCCCCCAGCCCGGUGCCUGACACAUAGUGGGUGCUCAUUAUGUGGGGACUAAUACUGUUAUCCGAUGAAGCCCCCAGCCCGGUGCCUGGCACGUAGUGCGUGCUUAGUAUGUGGGGGCUAGUACUGUUAUCCGAUGAAGCCCCCAGCCCAGUGCCUGGCACGUAGUAGGUGCUCAUUAUGUGGGGGCUAGUACUGUUAUCCGAUGAAGCCCCCAGCCCGGUGCCUGGCACGUAGUAGGUGCUCAGUAUGUGGGGACUAGUACUGUUAUCCGAUGAAGCCCCCAGCCCGGUGCCUGGCACGUAGUAGGUGCUCAUUAUGUGGGGGCUAGUACUGUUAUCCGAUGAAGCCCCCAGCCCGGUGCCUGGCACGUAGUAGGUGCUCAGUAUGUGGGGACUAAUACUGUUAUCCGAUAAAGUCCCCAGCCCGGUGCCUGACACGUGGUAGGUGCUCAUUAUGUGGGGACUAGUACUGUUAUCUGAUAAAGCCCUGAGUCCAGUGCCUGGCACAUAGUAGGUACUCAUUACGUGGGGACUAGUACUGUUAUCUGAUGAAGCCCCCAGCCCGGUGCCUGGCACGUAGUAGGUGCUCAUUACGUGGGGACUAAUACUGUUAUCCGAUGAAGCCCCCAGCCUGGUGCCUGGCACAUAGUAGGUGCUCAUUAUGUGGGGACUAAUACUGUUAAUCUGAUGAAGCCCCCAGCCUGGUGCCUGACACAUAGUGGGUGCUCAUUAUGUGGGGACUAAUACUGUUAUCCGAUGAAGCCCCCAGCCCGGUGCCUGGCACGUAGUGCGUACUCAUUAUAUGGGGACUAAUACUGUUAAUCUGAUGAAGCCCCCAACCCGGUGCCUGCCACGUAGUAGGUGCUCAGUAUGUGGGGGCUAAUACUGUUAUCCGAUGAAGCCCCAGCCCGGUGCCUGGCACAUAGUAGGUACUUAUUAUGUGGGGACUAGUACUGUUAAUCUGAUAAAGCCCCCAGCCCAGUGCCGGGCACGUAGUAGGUGCUUAGUAUGUGGGGACUAGUACUGUUAAUCUGAUGAAGCCCCCAGCCCGGUGCCUCGCACGUAGUAGGUGCUUAGUAUGUGGGGACUAGUACUGUUACCUGAUGUAGCCCCAGCCCGGUGCCUGGCAUAUAGUAGG